GAGUUAUGUUCUGGAUUUAUUCAGAAAUCUCCCACCCUUUGUGUUUUUAAAUGAAUCAAUUACUUUGGUGAAGCGUCUGGGACGGUUUACAUAUUUGCGUAUGUACUGGACCAGCCAUCGGCUUGCAAGAGCGGGUGUGUUCUUGCCAAAGGACCUCAACUCUUUUAUCAUUUACAAUUGUCUGAGUUUAUAUUUUAAAUAAACAAAACUUUCAACAAUGGAUCUCUUGGUUCU
rnacentral:misc_RNA from 1 species